rnacentral:rRNA from 1 species
UAACGCGUGGAUAACCUGCCGUAUACCGGGGGAUAACACUUAGAAAUAGGUGCUAAUACCGCAUGAGCGCACAGCUCCGCAUGGAGCGGUGUGAAAAACUCCGGUGGUAUACGAUGGAUCCGCGUCUGAUUAGCCAGUUGGCAGGGUAACGGCCUACCAAAGCGACGAUCAGUAGCCGGCCUGAGAGGGUGAACGGCCACAUUGGGACUGAGACACGGCCCAAACUCCUACGGGAGGCAGCAGUGGGGAAUAUUGCACAAUGGGGGAAACCCUGAUGCAGCGACGCCGCGUGAGUGAAGAAGUAUUUCGGUAUGUAAAGCUCUAUCAGCAGGGAAGAAAAUGACGGUACCUGACUAAGAAGCCCCGGCUAACUACGUGCCAGCAGCCGCGGUAAUACGUAGGGGGCAAGCGUUAUCCGGAUUUACUGGGUGUAAAGGGAGCGUAGACGGUGAUGCAAGUCAGAAGUGAAAGCCCGGGGCUCAACUCCGGGACUGCUUUUGAAACUGUGUAACUGGAGUGCAGGAGAGGUAAGCGGAAUUCCUAGUGUAGCGGUGAAAUGCGUAGAUAUUAGGAGGAACACCAGUGGCGAAGGCGGCUUACUGGACUGUAACUGACGUUGAGGCUCGAAAGCGUGGGGAGCAAACAGGAUUAGAUACCCUGGUAGU